ensembl:lncRNA
AUGANAUAUGGCCCAGGGGGGAGGGUCCCUUAUGGAUUCUAUAAGGCCCCGGGCAGUUCCUAUGGAUUUUACAGGGCCCAGGGGUCCCCUAUAGAUCCUAUAUGGCCCUGGGGGGUUCCUGUGGCAGCCAGGAGGGUCUCUAUGGAUUCUAUACAGUCCCCAUACAACCCUAUGGAUCCCAUACAUUCCCUAUGGAUCCCUCAUGGAUCCCAUGCAUUCCCUAUGGAUCCCAUACAGGGCCCAUGGAUCCUGUAUGGCCCUAGGCAGUCCCCUAUGGAUCCCAUACAUUCCCUAUGGAUCCCAUACAUUCCCUAUGGAUCCCUCAUGGAUCCCAUACAUCCCCUAUGGAUCCCAUACAUUCCCUAUGGAUCCUGUAUGGCCCUGGGCAGUCCCCCAUGGAUCCCAUACAUUCCCUGUGGAUCCCAUACAUUCCCUAUGGAUCCCACGCAUUCCCUAAGGAUCCCAUACAUUCCCUGUGGAUCCCAUGCAUUCCCUAUGGAUCCCACACAUUCCCUAUGGAUCCCACACAUUCCCUAUGGAUCCCACACGUUCCCUAUGGAUCCCAUACGUUCCCCCAUGGAUCCCAUACAUUCCCUAUGGAUCCCAUACAUCCCCUAUGGAUCCCAUGCAUUCCCCCAUGGAUCCCACGCGUUCCCUAUGGAUCCCAUACAUUCCCUAUGGAUCCUGCAUGGCCCUGGGCAGUCCCCCAUGGAUCCCAUACAUUCCCUAUGGAUCCCAUACAUUCCCUAUGGAUCCCAUGCAUUCCCUAUGGAUCACAUACAUUCCCCCAUGGAUCCCAUACAUUCCACCAUGGAUCCCACACAUUCCCUAUGGAUCCCACACAUUCCCUAUGGAUCCCAUACAUUCCACCAUGGAUCCCACACGUUCCCCCAUGGAUCCCACACAUUCCCUAUGGAUCCCAUACAUUCCACCAUGGAUCCCACACAUUCCCUAUGGAUCCCACACAUUCCCUAUGGAUCCUGUAUGGCCCUGGGCAGUCCCCUAUGGAUCCCAUACAUUCCCUAUGGAUCCCAUACAUUCCCUAUGGAUCCCACACAUUCCCUAUGGAUCCCAUACGUUCCCUAUGGAUCCCACACGUUCCCUAUGGAUCCCAUACAUCCCCUAUGGAUCCCAUACAUUCCCCAUGGAUCCCAUACAUUCCCCCAUGGAUCCCAUACAUUCCCUAUGGAUCCCAUACGUUCCCCCAUGGAUCCCACACAUUCCCCCAUGGAUCCCAUACAGUCCCUAUGGAUCCCAUACAUUCCCCCAUGGAUCCCAUACAUUCCCUAUGGAUCCCAUACAGUCCCCUAUGGAUCCCAUGCAUUCCCUAUGGAUCCCAUACAUUCCCCCAUGGAUCCCAUGCAUUCCCUAUGGAUCCCAUACAUUCCCUAUGGAUCCUGUAUGGCCCUGGGCAGUCCCCCAUGGAUCCCACGCAUUCCCUAUGGAUCCCAUACAUCCCCUAUGGAUCCCAUACAUUCCCCCAUGGAUCCCAUACAUUCCCCCAUGGAUCCCACACGUUCCCUAUGGAUCCCAUACAUUCCCUAUGGAUCCCAUACAGUCCCCUAUGGAUCCCAUACAUUCUCCCAUGGAUCCCAUACAUUCCCUAUGGAUCCCACACGUUCCCUAUGGAUCCCACACAUUCCCUAUGGAUCCCAUACAUUCCCCCAUGGAUCCCAUACAUUCCCUAUGGAUCCCAUACAUUCCCUAUGGAUCCCACACAUUCCCUAUGGAUCCCAUACAUUCCCUAUGGAUCCCACACAAUCCCCCAUGGAUCCCAUACAUUCCCUAUGGAUCCCACAC